rnacentral:rRNA from 1 species
ACGCCAGACUCCUACGGGAGGCAGCAGUGGGGAAUAUUGUACAAUGGGGGAAACCCUGAUGCAGCAACGCCGCGUGAGUGAAGAAGUCAUUCGUGAUGUAAAGCUCUAUCAGCAGGGAAGAAAAUGACGGUACCUGACUAAGAAGCCCCGGCUAACUACGUGCCAGCAGCCGCGGUAAUACGUAGGGGGCAAGCGUUAUCCGGAAUCACUGGGUGUAAAGGGAGCGUAGACGGCUGUGCAAGCCUGAAGUGAAAGGCGGGGGCCCAACCCCUGGACUGCUUUGGGAACUGUACGGCUGGAGUGCAGGAGAGGUAAGUGGAAUUCCUAGUGUAGCGGUGAAAUGCGUAGAUAUUAGGAGGAACACCAGUGGCGAAGGCGGCUUACUGGACUGUAACUGACGUUGAGGCUCGAAAGCGUGGGGAGCAAACAGGAUUAGAUACCCUUGUAU